AACGAACGCUGGCGGCAGGCCUAACACAUGCAAGUCGAGCGCUGUAGCAAUACAGAGCGGCGCACGGGUGAGUAACACGUGGGAACGUGCCCUUUGGUUCGGAAUAACCCAGGGAAACUUGGGCUAAUACCGGAUGAGCCCUAACGGGGAAAGAUUUAUCGCCGAAGGAGCGGCCCGCGUCGGAUUAGCUAGUUGGUGGGGUAAAAGCCUACCAAGGCAACGAUCCGUAGCUGGUUUGAGAGAACGACCAGCCACACUGGGACUGAGACACGGCCCAGACUCCUACGGGAGGCAGCAGUGGGGAAUCUUGGACAAUGGGGGAAACCCUGAUCCAGCCAUGCCGCGUGAGUGAUGAAGGCCCUAGGGUUGUAAAACUCUUUCGGCGGGGACGAUAAUGACGGUACCCGCAGAAGAAGCUCCGGCUAACUUCGUGCCAGCAGCCGCGGUAAUACGAAGGGGGCUAGCGUUGUUCGGAAUUACUGGGCGUAAAGCGCGCGCAGGCGGUUCUUCAAGUCAGAGGUGAAAGCCC
rnacentral:rRNA from 1 species